rnacentral:rRNA from 1 species
UACGGAAGGCAGCAGUGGGGAAUAUUGCACAAUGGGCGCAAGCCUGAUGCAGCCAUGCCGCGUGUAUGAAGAAGGCCUUCGGGUUGUAAAGUACUUUCAGUCGUGAGGAAGGUGUUAAGGUUAAUAACCUUAGCAAUUGACGUUAGCGACAGAAGAAGCACCGGCUAACUCCGUGCCAGCAGCCGCGGUAAUACGGAGGGUGCGAGCGUUAAUCGGAAUUACUGGGCGUAAAGGGCACGCAGGCGGUUAAUUAAGUUGGAUGUGAAAUCCCCGGGCUUAACCUGGGAAUGGCAUUCAAGACUGGUUAGCUAGAGUCUUGUAGAGGGGGUAGAAUUCCAUGUGUAGCGGUGAAAUGCGUAGAGAUGUGGAGGAAAUACCGGUGGCGAAAGGCGGCCCCCUGGACAAAAGACUGACGCUCAUGUGCGAAAAGCGUGGGGAGCAAAACAGGGAUUAGAU